AUCCUCCCUUUGGGACAUCUGAUAAAAUUGGAACGAUACAGAGAAGAUUAGCAUGGCCCCUGCGCAAGAUGACACGCACAAAUUGAGAAAUGGUCCAAAUUUUU
rfam:Triticum aestivum genome assembly, contig: Triticum_aestivum_CS42_TGACv1_scaffold_147077_2BS